UAAAUACUCCCACCGUCCGGAAAUACUUGUCGGAGGAAUGGAUGUAUCUAACAUAUCUUAGUUCUAGAUACGUUCAUUUUUAUCCAUUUCUUCGACAAGUAUUUCCGGACGGGGGGAGUAUAUU
rfam:Triticum aestivum genome assembly, contig: Triticum_aestivum_CS42_TGACv1_scaffold_602936_7DL